rnacentral:tRNA from 1 species
GGAAAGAUGUCUGAGUUGGUUUAAGGUACGCCCUUGGAAGGGGCGCGUGGUGGAAACACCACCGGGGGUUCGAAUCCCCCUCUUUCCG